GGUGAAGCCCCCACCCCCGGCAAUGAGACACUUACUCAUUUUUCUUGACCAGGGGUCCCUUCAGCUUGGUCUCCAGCCCUCCAAAGAAACCCUUGACAUUCUCCGUCUUGGUGUUCUUCAGCAGACGCUCAGCGAUGUCCUUCUUCUCGGCCAACCAGCUGUUGGCGGACUUCAGGUCACAGGAAGAUGCUGGGUUGUGACAGGACUGGACCUUGGAUGUGAUUCUCCAAGUUUACUCAUCUAAGGAAAGGUGAAGAACCGGGUCUUGUAGAAAACAUCUUGGUCUCGUUUAUCCCAAAA